rnacentral:lncRNA from 1 species
AAAAUAAAAAUUGGGUGCACACCCUUUAGCAUCUUCUGUGUACCCCCUAUUUUAGUUUAUUUAUUUAUUUUAGUUAAUUUAUUUAAUUAAUCUAUUUCAUUUUAUCAUACCAAUCCUAGGCAUAAAUCAUAUUAUAAGAUACAAAAAAAAAUUAAUAAAAAAUAUAAAAUAACAAAAGACAAAAACAAAAAAAAUUCAUUAUUAAAAUCAAUACUCCACUCAUCCAAAU